rnacentral:rRNA from 1 species
AUUGAACGCUGGCGGCAUGCUUUACACAUGCAAGUCGAACGGUAACAGCACUUCGGUGGCUGACGAGUGGCGAACGGGUGAGUAAUACAUCGGAACGUGCCUAGUAGUGGGGGAUAACUACUCGAAAGAGUAGCUAAUACCGCAUGAGAUCUAAGGAUGAAAGCAGGGGACCUUCGGGCCUUGCGCUACUAGAGCGGCUGAUGGCAGAGUAGGUAGUUGGUGGGAUAAAAGCUUACCAAGCCGACGAUCUGUAGCUGGUCUAAGAGGACGACCAGCCACACUGGGACUGAGCCACGGCCCAGACUCCUCCGGGAGGCAGCAGUGGGGAAUUUUGGACAAUGGGCGCAAGCCUGAUCCAGCAAUGCCGCGUGCAGGAUGAAGGCCUUCGGGUUGUAAACUGCUUUUGUACGGAACGAAAAGCCCUCUUCUAAUACAGGAGGGUCAUGACGGUACCGUAAGAAUAAGCACCGGCUAACUACGUG